AAGGAGGUGGACUUAAGAUCCACUGCGCGGUAUGCGCUCGCGAGUUCGAAUCUCGUCGCCAGUAACUGGCGUGUCCGAGUGGUU